rnacentral:rRNA from 1 species
CAGGGCUUGACAUCCUACUAACGAAGCAGAGAUGCCUUAGGUGCCCUUCGGGGAAAGUAGAGACAGGUGGUGCAUGGUUGUCGUCAGCUCGUGUCGUGAGAUGUUGGGUUAAGUCCCGCAACGAGCGCAACCCCUAUUGUUAGUUGCUACGCAAGAGCACUCUAGCGAGACUGCCGUUGACAAAACGGAGGAAGGCGGGGACGACGUCAAAUCAUCAUGCCCCUUGUGUCCUGGGCUACACACGUAAUACAAUGGCGGUCAACAGAGGGAUGCAAAGCUGCGAGGCAGAGCGAACCCCUAAAAGCCGUCCCAGUUCGGAUUGCAGGCUGCAACCCGCCUGCAUGAAGUCGGAAUCGCUAGUAAUCGCGGAUCAGCAUGCCGCGGUGAAUACGUUCCC